UUGGAGGGCAAGUCUGGUGCCAGCAGCCGCGGUAAUUCCAGCUCCAAUAGCGUAUAUUAAGUUGUUGCAGUUAAAAAGCUCGUAGUUGAAUUUCGGGAUUAAUUUACUGGUCGUGCUUUCGUACGUACUGGUUUUAUUGAUUCCUACCUUCUGACGAACCAUGAUGUCAUUAAUUUGGUGUCUUGGGGAAUCAGGACUGUUACUUUGAAAAAAUUAGAGUGUUUAAAGCAGG
rnacentral:rRNA from 1 species